rnacentral:lncRNA from 1 species
CUGCUGCCACAUAUCCAACCAUCAGGAAUGAGGAGCAAUGGAGUUCUUCAUACGGUACAACCCCUUGAGGAAACCAACCACCUACUUGGUGGCUAAAUGAUUAUAUCAGACCCCUUCAUGCUGUAAAGAGCAACAAUUCAUCCUGGGCAUAUUUAUCAUAACCUGAGGAGCCUCUGAUAUAGUCAGGGUUAUAGUUUGUUCUAGAAACUCUCCUCUUACAAGUAACCAGAAACUGCACCAGUCAGAAUCCUGGAAGACCUGCAACCAGAUGGAGUCACAUGGACAUAGGAAGAAUCAGCUCUGAGUGGUACAAAUGGUAAACUGGAGUCUGCUUUGUGUGCUGGAGUUCCCAUGUUGGCUGCCAAUGACUCACACCUAUGCUGUUUCCUAGAGGCUUGCAUUUGGCUGAAGGAAACUGCCUAAGUCACACAUGGCUGGGAUAUUAAACCACUUCCCACCCAAGUGUACAGAGGCCUCUGUCCAGCCACCACCAACAUUUCUCAGCCUGUUUUGCAAUAGAGGGGCCACAGGAAUAGUUCUCAGCAAUGGAAUGGGAGACAAGGUAAGACACAUUCUCUCAAGACCAAGAUUAAGAAGCCUUUUCUACUUGUUCUUUUCCUCUUUCUGCACAUAGAUGACCCUAUAGUAGGGAGGCCAUCAGAUAAAAAGAGUCUGGGUUUCAGAGUUACCUUGGGAAAGAUGGCCACCAAUCAGUAACUCUUGUAUUAUUAAACGAGUGAGAAGUAAACUUUGAGUGUGUUUGGCAUUAAA